UGGUUCUGGCAUCGAUGAAGAACGCAGCGAAAUGCGAUAAGUAAUGUGAAUUGCAGAAUUCAGUGAAUCAUCGAAUCUUUGAACGCACAUUGCGCCCAUUAGUAUUCUAGUGGGCAUGCCUGUUCGAGCGUCAUUUCAACCCCCAAGCCCUAGUUGCUUGUCGUUGGGAGCCUGCCGUAAAACGCAGCUCCUCAAAGCUAGCUGGCAGAGUUAGGAUUCUUAACUGUGAGCGUAGUAGAACUUUUUUACAUCUCGCUUCUCUGGUUGUCCUGGCCUUCUCGCCAUUAAAGCCCCAAACUUUUUUCUAUGGUUGACCUCGGAUCAGGUAGGAAUACCCGCUGA
rnacentral:misc_RNA from 1 species